rnacentral:rRNA from 1 species
UACAGAGGGGGCAAGCGUUGUUCGGAAUUACUGGGCGUAAAGGGCGCGUAGGCGGCCCGCUAAGUCGAACGUGAAAUCCCCGAGCUCAACUCGGGAACUGCGUCCGAUACUGGUGGGCUUGAAUCCGGGAGAGGGAUGCGGAAUUCCGAGGUGUAGCGGUGAAAUGCGUAGAUAUCUGGAGGAACACCUGUGGCGAAGGCGGCCAUCUGGACGGUAACUGACGCUGAGACGCGAAAGCGUGGGUAGCAAACAGG